UCCAGAAUAUAGCCACGUCCUGCACAUCAGCAGGGGUAGCAGAAGUUUUUCAUUAGCCAUUUACUUUUUCUUUCUUUUUUUUUUUUCCCUUUGCAGAAAGAGGUAGCUUUCGAAGAAUCCCCCAAUUCCUCAUCCUGAAAGCUUCAGGAUAGCCAACAGCCAACAAGUCUGGGUACAAGCUUGGUAUCUACUUUGCUCACACCCGACCUCCUGAACGUCAGAGUAUCAAGAGCCAGACCUUUGUUUCCUGGCCAUCUCCAGCUGUUAUUGCACCUCCUGGCACAGGAAACAGAGCCAUUGAGCACAACGCAUCUUCGGGAUGACAAUCACAUCACAUGGAUCCGAGGGCCCGGAAUGAGCAGGAUGACAUGUUGUUGUGGUCACCCCAUUCCUUAAGGCUGUGUGGAGUUUGCUGGCAGGCAGGCUGGGAACGAUGCUCUUCAGACACUCAGUGUGAUCUUUACUCAACCAGAGCCACCACAUCCCCUGGCCACCAGCACCGUUCAUGCAUGCUGAGCGACCACAGAGCCCUGCAAAGGCCUUCAUUUGAGGGUGGUUUGGACUAACAGAAUGCAAACAGAUUUUGAAACAUCAGAAGUUGCCAUGAAACAAACUCGCUGUUUGCCAGCCAGCUCUCACUGCGGGUCACGGCUAGCCCUUGCUUAAGCCUUCUGAAGUCAGAAAUUACACAGAAGCAGCAUCCAUCUCUGCACAGAUCUGUAUGGAGAAAUGUGACUUGUGAUCAUCUUUUAAAACAAACUUAACUAUUGGGUUUAUUACUUUCUGUGUUCGGUCCCUCCUUACUUUCAGCAAAUAUUUGCAAGAAACACCACACCUUACAUAUGGGAAGUGAGCUGCUGCAGUGUGGCAUGCAGUGUGAGCAUGGCAGUGCCCUCUGCUUCUCACCCCCAAGAGCAGGGGAUGCCAUCUGCCAAUAUUUUUUUUUUUAAACCAGGCUCAGGGUUUGAUCUAAGAGAGAAUUGUAAUUUCAGUGUCUGAUUCGGAAUGCACUGACACUGCUGAAUAUUUAUAAAGGACUUUUUCCAAAUCAAUCAGUGUUGCUCUUGACCUGAAUUCAGGCAGUUGGGUUUUUCAUCCCCUCUCAUCAUGAUUUCAUUUUCUCAUCCCCGUCACCGCAUGGAUUUUUCUGCAGUGACUAAUUCUGAGGAGCGUAAGCUCGCUGCUGAAAAGCAGCGUCAGAAAUGUAUGGUUAUCCAGGAUAAUGGGUGCCAAUGGCACAAAUCCUACAGCUGUGUGAGGGGGAAAAUGACAGUCAUCUGAAUGCCAAAUUGUUUGUGUCCCUUCAUCACCCUAGAGCUUCUGAAAAGAAAAGCAAUUCUUUUAAAGGGUCUGAGGAAUAGCAUCACAAGGCGAACACUUCCAAGUUACUGUUAAGGUUCCUUUGUGGUGGCUGCAGCAAUCCUUCAGAAGGGUUUGCUCUGAGGAUUUCUUAAUUUUGAGAGGAUAACGAGAGGAUAACUCAGGAAGCAACUGCGACUGUGCUGAGUUAACACACAGCUUUGUUUUCUCAGUCAGCUUUUCUCAGGCAGUCUGAACUCUGUCUGGUUUCCAUUUUUACAUCUGCAUUUUGGUGCGCUACGACAAAUAUUUCUGGUAGGUGCAAGGAAGCAUUGCAUCUUUCCUUCGGAAUUCAGGUUUUGAAUAAUUUCAACAAACUUUGAAGUAGUCUUCACGAUGAGGGUCAUCAUUUGAGGAGGAGAAUUGUCUCAUUCACUCCAUAUUUUCCCAACAUAAUGUUUUAGGCAUCUCUGCAACAUUUGGAGGUUCGCAAAUUUGGAGGUGUUUGCAGCCUUGCAGUGCUUUUCUGCUGCACUUUUCAGAAAGGAAAAAUGUGAUGUGAUUUUAUUGGAUGCAUCAUGGUUCAUCUCAGAUAUCUGAAAGAAUCUGAAAAAUCAUUGCAGGUCCCUUUAUGGCAAAAAAAAAUUGCAUUCUUCUCAUAGAGAAAAUAAAUAAAACUCUCAUGUUCUGCCCUCA
rnacentral:lncRNA from 1 species